rnacentral:rRNA from 1 species
GAGAGUUAAACAGUACGUGAAAUUGUUGAAAGGGAAACGAUUGAAGCCAGUCGUACCUUCGGGUAAUCAGCCUUUCGGGUGCGAUUAUGUGGAGUGUGAGGAGCUUAAACACCUUCAUGUUUUGCAUAUUCGUACUCUUGGGUGUACUUGCCCGUAUGGUUGGUUAACAUCAAUUUUGGUGGUCAUAAAAUGACUGGAGGAAUGUAGCUUCGAUCUCGUAUUGAAGUGUUAUAGCCUUCGGUAGAUGUGAUGAUCGAGAUUGAGGAUUGCAACGGAUACCCUUCGGGGCUACCUGUCUGAUCUCUGAUCGUUGCUCUGGUGCCGAAAGCUUGCUUACGGUUAUCAAAGUCGAUGGUCAAUAGGUUAGAACGGGUUAAAUUCGUUAAGGAUGUUGACGUAAUGGCUUUAAACGA